GUGUGAGAACAUUUCCAUCUUCCCAUAUUACUAAGGCUGUUUUCGAAAAUAUUGAUUACAAUAUUUGCAAAAUAAUACAAAAUAAUUUGUUUCCCACUAAAAGCACUCUCUUCCCUCAAAACCAAACAAUGACAAACACAAGGGAUAUAUGAAAAUAGAAGAAUAAGAAAAUAAAUAUCUAAGAAGAACAAGCACUAGGCAAAAAGAACCACUCUCACACUGCAUUCACACAAAUAUACAAUAAUACACAACAAUGAAUAAACCGAUAACCUAACCCCACAAAUUACAAACUCAACAAACCAAUGCUAAUCAUGGCUAGCAUCUACAGAGAUACCUGUUCUCGCUUGUGAUAUCCGAUUAGCAUAUAUGGUCAC
rnacentral:misc_RNA from 1 species